rnacentral:lncRNA from 10 species
CGCCUCGGCCUGCUAGGGGUACCCCAAGGCAGACAGAAGGCCCAUGAGGGAAAGGUGAGACACCUGGGGCAGAGAAAAAAAUAAAAAAACUGCGCCGCCCAGAAGUGGGGCCUGGGUCCCCCACAGACGAACGUCCCUACCCAUCAGCCCUGAACUGGGCCCCGGAGACCCUAGCGUCCCUGGCUCGAAACCAGGGUGCGCUUCAGGCCCGCUAGUGGUACCUCAAGGUGGGCAGAAAGCCCAUGAGGGGAAGGUGAGGCACCUGGGGAAAAGCGAAAAAAACAAAAACAAAAACGUCGCAGAGAAGCAGAGCCUGGGUCCCCGAGGAAGAAAGUGUCUUCGCAUCAGCCCUUGCGCUGGGCCCCGGGGACCCUGGUGUCCCAGUUUCGAACCCAGGGUGUGCGUCUGGCCACUAGGGGUACCCCAAGUCGGACAGAAGGCCCAUGAGGGGAAGGUGAGGUUUGAGGGAGGAGACGUGAGGCAACUGUGGCAGGAAAAAAAAAAAAAAAAAAA